AAAGGAAUUGACGGGGACCCGCACAAGCGGUGGAGCAUGUGGUUUAAUUCGAAGCAACGCGAAGAACCUUACCAAAUCUUGACAUCCUCUGAACGCUAUAGAGAUAUAGUUUCCCUUCGGGGCAGAGUGACAGGUGGUGCAUGGUUGUCGUCAGCUCGUGUCGUGAGAUGUUGGGUUAAGUCCCGCAACGAGCGCAACCCUUAAUAUUAGUUGCCAUCAUUUAGUUGGGCACUCUAAUGUGACUGCCGGUGACAAACCGGAGGAAGGUGGGGAUGACGUCAAAUCAUCAUGCCCCUUAUGAUUUGGGCUACACACGUGCUACAAUGGGCAGGAACAAAGGGCAGCUAAACCGCGAGGUCAUGCGAAUCCCAUAAAACUGUUCUCAGUUCGGAUUGGAGUCUGCAACUCGACUCCAUGAAGCUGGAAUCGCUAGUAAUCGUAGGUCAGCAUACUACGGUGAAUACGUUCCCGGGUCUUGUACACACCGCCCGU
rnacentral:rRNA from 1 species